UAUCUCUGAAGCCUCUGUUCAAUCAUCUGUGGAGUCAUUUUGGUGGAUUUCAGUAGACUGGCUACACCAAUGGGCAGACACCAUCACUCCUAYGACUUGAUUAUGAAUACAAAGCCAUCCAUCUGUUCAAACGAGAGCAACACAGUCCUGUUAACAAACUAAAAUUGUUCAAAAAUCUCAUCAGUCCAAAUUAGAAGCAGAUCUAGCUAGAAGAACAGAACACUACUCUUCUGAGAACAUGCGGGUUAUUAAAGGUUUUACGUUCUCCCAUACUAAUCACGAUCACACAGCUGCAGAUGCACACACUAUCUUACAUACUAUAACCAUCACAAUURGAUUGUUGAUCAUCCAUCAAAGUAGUAAAACAGUCAAAUUUUUACAUACUAUAACUAUGCUAUUGAAAUGUUCUGAUGGCUUAUUGACUUGUAGAUAAAGAGGGAAAUUG